UACGUAGGGUGCGAGCGUUAAUCGGAAUUACUGGGCGUAAAGCGUGCGCAGGCGGUUCGCUAAGACCGAUGUGAAAUCCCCGGGCUUAACCUGGGAACUGCAUUGGUGACUGGCGAGCUAGGGUGUGGCAGAGGGGGGUAGAAUUCCACGUGUAGCAGUGAAAUGCGUAGAGAUGUGGAGGAAUACCGAUGGCGAAGGCAGCCCCCUGGGCUAACACUGACGCUCAUGCACGAAAGCGUGGGGAGCAAACAGG
rnacentral:rRNA from 1 species